UAACUUUUGUAAUUUUUCGCAGAGUGCUGCAAGAGACAAGUUCAAGCACUUCAGAAUAAUGGAGAAGGACGAAGGGAGCAAGACUCUCCCUUGUAUUCUCAGAAAGAACACUUCUAUCAGAAGCACCAUUUUAUUUCCACACCCACCAAUAGGCUCAGUAAAGGAAAGGCAAGUAACAGUUACUAAGUGUAAGUACCUGCCAUAAAUGAUACUAGCUCUUAAUGUGCUUG
ensembl:lncRNA